CAGUCGCCGCGUAAUACAGAGGGUGCAAGCGUUAAUCGGAAUUACUGGGCGUAAAGCGCGCGUAGGUGGUUAGUUAAGUUGGAUGUGAAAUCCCCGGGCUCAACCUGGGAACUGCAUUCAAAACUGACUGACUAGAGUAUGGUAGAGGGUGGUGGAAUUUCCUGUGUAGCGGUGAAAUGCGUAGAUAUAGGAAGGAACACCAGUGGCGAAGGCGACCACCUGGACUGAUACUGACACUGAGGUGCGAAAGCGUGGGGAGCAAACAGGAUUAGAUACCCCCGUAGUCCCUGUCUCUUAUACA
rnacentral:rRNA from 1 species